rnacentral:lncRNA from 1 species
GGAUCAUGGAAAUCUUCUAUUCAAAGUGGUUUUCCUCCUGGUGCAUCUGGGAUUUAUAAGGACUUGAGCCGUUCCUGAGCAUCAUAAGAUGAAGCAACUGUAGCAUACUUCCUUUUGCUUAUGAUUCUAUGGUGUGAUUAGAAGAGUAGAAGAAGGCGAUGGCACCCCACUCCAGUACCCUUGCCUGGAAAAUCCCAUGGCGGAGGAGCCUGGUGGGCUGCAGUCCAUGGGGUCGCCAAGAGUCGGACACGACUGAGCGACUUGACUUUCACUUUUCCCUUUCAUGCAUUGGAGAAGGCAAUGGCAACCCACUCCAGUGUUCUUGCCUGGAGAAUCCCAGGGACGUGGCAGCCUGGUGGGCUGCCGUCUAUGGGGUCACACAGAGUCGGACACGACUGAAGCGACUCAGCAGCAGCAGCAGCAGCAGCAGCAGCAGAAUAGAAUUCUUUGAAAGAGAACAAGGCAGCAAGUCUAACCGCAUUGGGAGAGCUCAUAAAGCAGCAGUGUAUUAUGUCAUGGAUUCCGCAGAGCUUCUGCAGCCUUCUCUCCCAACAAAAGUGGUUGGAGCAGCUCUGAGGUCCUCCGUAGCUGUUUUUCAAAGAUUCUCCUGUGUGUCAAAGAAGGGCAGCACUUACAAUGGAAGGAUACAGAGCUGGGACCCAGGCAUCCAGAGGUUGAAAGAAAGGUAGGUUUGAGGGUUGAGUUACAGCCCCAGUAAACGGAUUACCCCAAUGGAAUCAUAAUGGAAAUCAGGUGCUCCGCACUUCUGAGUGGCCUGUACAAGGAAAUCUUGCUUCUCUCCUUUCUCUCAGGUGGAGUGAGACCUCCCAGCGUGACCAGAUAGCCAGAACUGGUCAGUUCAGAGCAUUUGAGACCCCUGCCUCAGGAUGGGCACCUCCUAACCCAGGUCUGUGCUGUGAAACAUACUCCCGGGCCUGCAGCUGGGCCAUGGGGAGAGAAAGUUGUCCUUUGGGAAUACUAAGAUGGUAUUGUAUGUAUCCGGGGCUACCAGAGGCUAUUUUGCCACCUCACUGGGGACAGCCUGUCUGAAAAAGAAUCCAGUAGAAUGAAAAGCAUGUAAGAGGUUAGGGAUGCUGGAUCACAUUCUAUCACAUCAUCUGGUCUUGGAUCUAGUUAGUUCUUUCUCUUUCUUUAAACAUUUAUUUAUUUACUUAUUUAUUUUAGCUGCACUAGGUCUUAGUUGUAGCAUGCACGAUUUUUAGUUGCAGCAUGAAACUCUUAGUUGCAUUGUGUGGGAUAUAAUUCCUUGACCAGGGAUUCAACCAGAGCCGCCUGCAUUGGGAACAUAGAGUCUCAGCCACUGGACCACCAGGGAAAUCCCUGGAUCCAACUAGUUCUAAAGGCAGUUUUACUCAUGGACUUCUUGGUUCUCUGAGCUCAUAAAUUUUUGCAAUUUGAUCUGGGUUUAUGUCACUUACAGCUAAAGGACUCCUAAUCAAAUACUAACUAAAGGAAGACCAAAGACUGGUAGGCAAACAGUCUGUCAAAGCAGAAUGAAACAAAAAGGUCUAGGUGACCAGUGGCU